AGAGGUAUUUUAUAAUAUAUUUUUCUUUUCUAAGGUGUUCUAUAAGAACAAGUUUCAGCCUUAGACUGAAAGAAUGGGUUUAUAGUAACAGUAGAUGUACAUUUUUGAUUUUUCUUGCUCUUGCUAUUCUAUUUUUUGUCUGAGGGCCUAAUUCCUGACUUAAACUGCAAUAAGUUUUGUUUAAGUACGGCUAACAAAUGGGUGGUUAAUUAUUAAUUAGGAAUCCCAUUGCCUGAAAGCCUUGUACUUGGCACCCCAAGUAUUGGUUUUGUUAAUUUUAUUCUUAUCUGAUAAAUCCGACCUGAUGUCUUCAUACUUAAGAAAACACUGAAAGACCCGAAGCUAAAAGCAAGCCUCUGCUUGGACAAAAACAUACUUAUGCUAAAGCCAUUUGUUUAAAAAACAUUUAAACUUAUGAGUUCAAACAUAAUAAACUGAAGUCCUUCAGAAAGUCAUUGAAGUUCUCCAUGGUUAUACAAACAGAGUAGACUCUGAUUCUCCAAUCAGAUAUACAUCUGCUUAAAGGAACAUUGACUUUAAGCAGUGUUUAUGGGGCUUUCUCAAAUACUUGCCAGUGGUUUUACUGACCUUCUCCUCCAGAUGUAAAUUAUGAUAUCACAUCAGAUAAUACAGGUAAUUUCACCAUUUGAUAGCACCCCCCUGGAAUUUAUUCUAUCCCUCCUCAACACCUCUUUGUCCACCUCACUUUAAAAGUGGAAACAUCAAUCUCAUCACCUCAAACCUUGCUACUUUUUUGCUACAGAAAUUCUAUUUUUCUGCGUGGAUCUGUAUAUAUAUAUAUACACAUAUAUCUAUAUCUUUCUAUCUAUCUAUAUAUAUAUAUAUUUUUUUAGGUCUGAUGAAUCCAGUCUGGGUGUGUGGAGAUGGCCUCUACCCAGACUAAAGGCAGAGCAACAUGUACAGCCCUGACUCAGCAACAUGUACAGCCCAACCAAAGGCAAUUUCUCCUAAAUAUGUUGUGGGUAUCUGUUGGAGGGACAACACUGCAGAGCAAAAGCAAUCCUGGAAAUUCUUGGAAUGUGUCAAUGACAAUUUCCUUGCAUAAGUGAUUGAGAAGCAAACAAGAAGAGGUGCCAUACUGGACCUUGCGCUCACCAACAGGGAGGAGAUGGUAAGGAAUGCAGUGACCAAGGCAGCCUUGGCUGCAGUGACCACGAGAUGGUGGAGUUUGAGAUCCUCAGGGCCGUGAGGAGGGCAAGCAGCAAGCUCUCUGCUCUGGACUUCAGGAGAGCAGAAUUUGACCGCUUCAAAUACCUACUUGGUAGAGGAUGAUGGGAUAGAGCCCCAUAGGGCAGAGAGACCCAAGGAUGAUGGCUGAUAUUCAAGGAUGACCUUCUCAAAAAUUACCAAUAAUCCAUCCCAACAGGUUGCCCAGGAAAGCUGCGGAUGCCCCCAACUCUGGCAGUGUUCAAAGCCAGGCUGGAUAAGGCCCUAAGCAACCUGUUCCAAUGAGAGGUAUUCCUGCCCAUAGCAGGCAGAUUGAGACUAGGUUGUCUUUAAAGUCCAUUCCAACCCCUUAACUGUUUAUGAUACCAUGGCUCUCUGUAUGUACAAAUUUAUUUGCUAGCCAAAAGCACAAACAGAAUUCUUGCCCUAAAUUGUCAUGCUAAAUUCAGCUUUUUGAUUUUUCUGUUUUCUCUCAUACCUAACAUUUACCAGAAAGAACCACCAAUGGGUAGUUCACUGUUGCAUCUUUAAAGACAAGAAUUACUCAUCAUCAUCCACCCUAAAGAAUUGAAGUAAUUCUUUUCUAUUCUCCCUAUUAGAUUUGCAUAUGCUGCAGAGCUAACCAACUUUAAGAGCAGGGAAUAAUAAUAAAUAAUUCCCUUUCCUUCAGCAAAACAACUUAAUUUAAUUUGACCAGCCACAGGGAAAAAGAAAACCAACCCAAAGAAAUAAUCCCUUCAAGAAAAACAUCAUUCUUCUGCCAACUGUGUUUCCCAAAGUGUCACAGACUGAAAGCCAAAGUUAACACUGCCUUCUCAGUCAUAUAAUGGCAAAGCAGGGAGUCCAGGUUGCAUACAGGUCAUCCAGUGUAAGAAACAGCUUCUCAUCUCACUUGCCCACACUGCUGCAUGAAAAACAUGCAAUAUUUAAAUGGCAAAUGCAAUAUUUAAAUGGCAAGCCAGAUAAGGCAUCCCUCUUGUUAUGAUUACAUUUUGACCUUUUCUGAGUUGCAUAAUAUUAGACUAAUUGUAUAAUCGGUCUCAUUUCUUCUGUGCUCUCCCUUGAAAGUACCCAACCAGCAGUGAUUCUCACCCUCCUGUAGGCAAAAGCUAUUUCAAACCACCCACCUAUCAGUUUUAUCGCCUUCUCUCACUCUCAACUGGUUCAUGCCCUUAUUGGAUAUAAUAUACCUUCCUCCUCUAUGGUAAACUAAUGUUACUUAAAUUGAUUUUUUUCUGAAUGCUACUAAUAUAGCAUGCAGUAGCUGUGAAAUAGUUGAAAGAUUUGGAUCACUAAAUUUUAAAAAAUUAUUCCAGAUUAGCAGGUAACAUGCUUCAGACUAACUGUCUUUCUAUAGCUGCUCCACUUCCUUCAAUAGUUGCAUUUUUUGGCAAGUUAUGAUGUAAUGACUAUCCAUAUCAUGAUUUGAACUAGUGGUUAAUCAAAUUCUCUGUAAUGAAACAGCAGGGCUUUUUGUUUGCUUCCUGUAAUGCUGUUUGCUUUGAAUUCUGUGCUUUUAACAUUUGUGCUGUAGCUUGGCUAUUACUCUGUUAUAAUUAUUUCAGAUGUUGAGUUAGCCAUUUGAGAGAUAGGCUGUUACCAACAGGAAUAUUGUCAAGGACACGUCUAAAGCAAAUAACUAAACAGGACUUCUUAGGUGCUUUGAUGUCCUUUGUUUUUCAAACAUUUGCUCUGACAUAUUUUCCUAUAUAAUUAUCACAAUCACAAACGAGAUCUGAUCAAAGCAUUCUGCUGCUUAUGAAGGUUGCAACUUUUACCUUUUCAUUUUUGGUUUUAGAGAUCUGCUUAUGGUUUUAAAAGCAUCUGGGGAAGCCCUAGUUGGCAGGCUUAUAUAGAUUUGGGUCUCUGAUACAGUUUUUUUUUUGUGAUUUUAUGUGCAGAGCAGGUACUGGAUCUACCUUCCAAGUCAAUGGUACUGCACUGCAGUGUAAAUGCUACAAAACCAAAGCAUUGUAUUACAUGAAAUCACUAAGAAGGAAAGUUGUAUGACGGCUGAGUGCAGUGAUAAUUUCUUCUGCCUUACUCUACACUAAAAGUAAAUAUCAUACAUGGUUGACAUAGAUCUACUGGCAUGCAGAAGUAAGAAAACACAGGACAUGAAAGUGGUUUCCAUCCCCACGGUCAGGUAGCCCAUGUACUUUGUUCCUGUAGUGGGGAAGGUAGGCUGUCACACCACCUCAGUAGGCUUCAGAUACCUCACAGACCAUGAGCUGAACACAUCCCCAUGGGACUUCAGGAAGCAGUCUUCCUGCCAGCCUGCCCACAGCUUUCCCUCAUCAGCUGGUUGACUGUGUUACCUGCAUCGAGAGCUAUUGCAAUCUGUGAAACAGUCCUGCAACUGCAUGAGUUGCGAGCACUUGGGCUGUGCUGCAGCAGGGGGAACAGGAUGGUGCUCUCAUCAUGUGGCCUGUCCUUGUCAAACCAGUUGUGUUAUUGGCAUUGCUACCACUCUUCCUGUAUUCAUGACUGUUUUGUAACUUUCUCCACUCUUCAAAUUGUAACCCUUUGUUGAUCUUCAUUGAAUCUUCCCAUCUUUCUUCUGCUUCCAGCUUUGCUUUUAAUGUCUUUUAUAACAAACACAGAAGGAGAAACAAACCUGUCAUUUGUUUUUGUGCCCAUGUACGUUGUUGCCUAUCCUCUUAAGCGCAUUCUUUCAAUGAAAUUUAAUUUAGCUGCUGCAGCUGAACUCAUUGCUUAAAAUAAAUAUUAAGAGGUGUAGAAAAUGGUCAGGUAUUCAAGGAAAGUGCUUGCACUUAUGCUUGUUGCUGACAUUUGUAGGGCUCUUUAAGAGGCCUGAGCUGUUGCAAUAUGUUUCUGCAGGAUAAAAUGAAAUAAGAUUCUAUUUCAGUCUCUAAUUUCUAUCAUUGAAUGAAUAUCUCUGCUAACACUGAGAUGGAACUUCAAGUUUCCAAUGCAUUUUCCAAAAGGAAUAGGAGAUAACUCAACUGUCUUAAGCAAUGUUAGAGUCACAACAUCCGGAUUGGCAAUGAGCCAACAGUAAGGUCUGUGUGGCAGCUGUCUCUACCUAAGCAAGUUGACUAAAUGCUCAGUGGGCUGAAGUUUAAGAAAACAGAUUUAAAAGGACAUCUUUCCAUGUGACUUUCAUGGAACUAUUGAGAUGUUUUAAGAAAGGCACAUGGGUAGAAGUUUGCAAGCUUUUUUUUUUUUAUUUUAAUUUGUACCUUUUGAGUUGUGCUGGACAUUUGGCUCCACAUUGUAUUUUCUUGCUUUCUAGAUGCAGCACCCUGCAUACUUCCAGGGUUAAAAUAAAUGGCUGUUUUUCAGUGGUGGAUAAAAAGCAGAUUAAAAAAAUGUGGGGAAAGAAGUGAUUUGCUCUGGAUAGACAUCCAAAUGAUACACAUGGAGAAUUAUUAUGUUUGAAGCUUAGGAUGACAAAGUAGAGAAAGAUAUUUCAUGCUGCCCGAUUGUAUGUGGGGAAGUGUAAUCCAUCAACUACUUUGAUAAGCUUUACCAUUUUUUGGAGAUUGGUGUGAAAUGAUCUCAUGAGCUGAAUCAAUUUAGACAUUCCAAACAAAUGUCUUUUAAAAUGCCCAAAUGAUGUAUAUGAAGAAAGGAUUGCCGUGUUUGUGUCUAGAGAUCGAUGCGUUUUUCUUCAUUUGCAUUAUGCUCUGACACUGCUGUAGCUUCUGGAGUUGCAUUUCAGUAGGGCUUGCUGUUGAUUUAUUUUUAAUUUGAUCUUAAUCAGCUCUAUGUUUUUAUCCCCUUUCUUUUUGUCAUUUUAUUUACUUAAGUAUCAGCACAGUUCCUCAAUAAGAGGCUUGGAAAGAGAAAGCUCACAUUGUCUGGCUUCAGUAACCAUCAGCUGUAUUACCACAUACACAUCUAUCAAGAUUAGUUACUUUUCCAGUACAUAAAAUCCAUUUAUGUAACAAGAAAAUCAAAUAAACACUGCUGUGUUUUCUUAAAA